UUGUUUUUAUAGUUUAAAUAAAACAUUGGUCUUGUAAAUCAAAAAUAAAUUUUUAUUUUAAAAACU
rnacentral:tRNA from 1 species